UAGUUUUGGUCCCUCUCUACCUCAUUUCCCAUGCCAACUCCCAUUUCUGCUUUGUCCAUGACGUUUACCAAAGUUUCCCUAAUUCCAUGUCAGAAAUUGAUCGAAUCGACCAAUUACACAAGCCAAGUAGCCCAACAAUUUGCCUUACUUGUCACUGUUGUGGCUCAGUCCGAGAAGGACACGACAUCCAUAGGUGGUUCCACAUACACAUCCUUCAACAUCAUCUCUUGUUCCAAAAGGUCAUCUGGCAAUGCUCCCUACACCUGAACCUCCUUUACUCAAGCUUCCCAUUUCCAUUCGCAAAGGUCUACAAGUGAAGCUAUGACUGAUUCUAGGUUGAGACAGGCAAUGUUGGAUGAUAUGGAUGCUUUACAUACUAGUGACACAUGGGAGUUGGUGCCUUUGCCUCCUAACAAGUCUAUAGUUGGUUGUCAAUGGGUGUACACAGUGAAAGUUGUCCCAGAUGGCAAUAUUGAUCGCUUUAAAGCAUAGUUGGUUGACAAGGACACUCAGAUCUAUGGCCUUGAUUAUCGGGAUACUUUCUUAUAGCCAAGAUAACUUUUAUUCGUUCGUUUCUUGCUAUGGCUACCAUUCGCCAUUGGUCAUUGUCGUAACUCGAAAAUUUUCGAUCU